UGAGGCAAAUAUAUUUUAUAUGAAUUUCUUAGACUUUCAGUUUUUGAAGGAAGGAUGUGUCUUUUACUGAUUCAAGUUAAUUACAUGCUUUCAUGUAUAUUCUUUCUGGCAACAGGGUCAUCCACCUGUCUCGAAAGCCUAUAGCUUUGCAGCCAAGACUCAGUAUAUAAAAUGACUGAGAGAAACAAGAGAAAAAAAAAAAAAAAAACAAAAAACACGCAAAACACAAAUAUCAAUAGCAAAGGUUAGAACAGGCUCCUGAACAGAGACCCGGGCCCCAGCGCUCAGCCCGCCUCCGCCGCUAGGGCCCCGCCCCUCGCAGAGGCGGGGCAAAGGCCCGGAAGGGGCGGGGCCCGGAGCGCCAACCGCCCGCCGGAAGGAGCUGGGCUUUCUUUUGCGCGCGGCCGGCGAUGGCGGAGGGUCCUCGAGGCACCGUCGCCGAGCGGGCCCGGCGGCAGCGUCUGCGGGCCAGUCGCUGGGCUCUUCGAGGAAUUAGCAUUUGUGAGUCUUCCUUGGUCAAUACGCCCUAAAGACGUGGUGUUGAAACCGGAGAACGGAGUGUCCGGCUGCCCCGCCCCAGGCCGAAGGCCUGCCCCGCCCGUAGGUGUUUGCCUUCUCUGGAUGUGUUUCGGGACAUAA
rnacentral:lncRNA from 1 species